rnacentral:tRNA from 1 species
CGACCAGUAGCUCAGUGGUAGAGCACCGCUUUGCGGUGACCCCGGUUCGACUCCGGGCUGGUCAC